GUAGUACUCUCCAACACAAAUAACAAUUAACAGAGUAUUCGUCUUUGACUCAAGCAAGCAAUUAAUCAGAUGUUGUAACAUAUUACAAGUAGAAAUGGAAGUGAUAAGCAGAGUUGGAGUGAUGAAACAAAUAAAGUGCUUCAAACUGAAAUUAAUUCACUUCCAAUAAAAACACACAGGAGGAUGGUGUUCAUCACCUUAGGCAUACAUGCAUGCUUACCAUAAUGCUAUAAAGUACGUGGCUAGAGACCACAAACUACUUAUUUAUUACACACUUAAAACACCAUCUUCUUUCAUAUCAGUAAACCACUAAUUCCUUAAUCACCACCGCCUUGCCCGUAACCCUCACCGUGACCAUAGCCUGAGCCUCCACCGCUGCCGCCUCCACCUCCCCCACCUCCUCCACCGCCUCCGCCACCUCCGCCGCCUCCGCCGCCACCACCUCCCCUUUUACCAGAUCCUGAUCCAGCCCGAGAGCCUGCAUACGAACCAGCUUCGGAGCCAGCACCGGAGCCACCAGAGCCAGAACUGGAAGAUGAAGAUGAUGAACUUGAGGAAGAGCUAGAGCUAGAACCAGAGCCAGAACCGGAGCCUGCUCCAGCUCCAGAGCCACUACCACCUCCUAUUCCCAGGCCCACCCCUACUCCAAGUCCAACCCCCAACCCACCAAGGUCCAGCCCCAAGUCCUUCCUCGCCACUCUGCUUUCUGAUGCAAUAGCUGACACAAAAAGUAGCAGUGCAAGCAGACAACAUGACCAGGAGGCGGCCAUUUGUGUGAAAUGUAGUUUGCAAAGUAACAACGAAGAAAGUAGGUAAAGAAACUAGAGCAAACAAACUUUGGUGGUGGUUGCAGUGAUGUCUCUUGCUGUAUGUUCUACAACACCAUGACUAACUCUGAAGAGGCCUUGAAGGAUCGUGAAGUAUUUAUAACUGCUGAAUGUGUUGAUGUUGAAGCCUUGGUUUAGUACUUAGUGUGCCGUAGUGGCGAAGAGGUGCAACUUUGCAG
rnacentral:lncRNA from 1 species